GUGAAGAAACCUGCCUCUGCCGUCGCCCUCGGGCAUGGCGGGGCAAACCCCCUCACAUCCAUAACACCUGUGAACUGUAAGACGUCGGGAUCUCGGUCCGGUCUGCCCCUUUUUUUUUACCAACAUGUAGUCGUAACAAAAGUAGUAUUAUCAUAACACGAUA
rnacentral:misc_RNA from 1 species